UUUUUUUGUUAUGUUUUUGUUACAUUCUUUGACUAGUGUUAUUGUAAAAUUGCGAUACUGAUUUCGGUUGCCCAAGCACAGAUAUCACAAGUAAAGUUCACAGUGUUGGAUAGUGGAGGUCAGGCCUCUUGCGCUGGAUAGCAACAAGAGCACCCUAAUUUUCACUAAUGAUCCUUCCGCAGGUUCACCUACGGAAA
rnacentral:misc_RNA from 1 species